rnacentral:rRNA from 1 species
GAUGAGCGCUGGCGGCGUGCCUAAUACAUGCAAGUCGAGCGAACAGACGAGGAGCUUGCUCCUCUGACGUUAGCGGCGGACGGGUGAGUAACACGUGGAUAACCUACCUAUAAGACUGGGAUAACUUCGGGAAACCGGAGCUAAUACCGGAUAAUAUAUUGAACCGCAUGGUUCAAUAGUGAAAGACGGUUUUGCUGUCACUUAUAGAUGGAUCCGCGCCGCAUUAGCUAGUUGGUAAGGUAACGGCUUACCAAGGCAACGAUGCGUAGCCGACCUGAGAGGGUGAUCGGCCAAACUGGAACUGAGACACGGUCCAGACUCCUACGGGAGGCAGCAGUAGGGAAUCUUCCGCAAUGGGCGAAAGCCUGACGGAGCAACGCCGCGUGAGUGAUGAAGGUCUUCGGAUCGUAAAACUCUGUUAUUAGGGAAGAACAAAUGUGUAAGUAACUAUGCACGUCUUGACGGUACCUAAUCAGAAAGCCACGGCUAACUACGUG